GAGACAGUUCGGUCCCUAUCCAUCGUGGGCGUAGGAUAUUUGAAAGGAUCUGUCCCUAGUACGAGAGGACCGGGAUGGACGUACCAAUUGUGCAUCUGUUGUCGCGCCAGCGGCACGGCAGAGUAGCGAAGUACGGACGGGAUAAACGCUGAAAGCAUCUAAGCGUGAAACCCACCUUAAGAUAAGAUAUCCCUUUCUUUAUGAAGUAAGACCCCUUGCAGACUACAAGGUUGAUAGGUCAGAGGUGUAAGUGCAGUCAAUGCAUUUAGCUGACUGAUACUAAUAGGUCGAGGGCUUGAUCAC
rnacentral:ncRNA from 1 species